AAUUAAAAGCCGGUGAAACUGAAAUUAACAGAACGCAGAACUAGAACAUAUCUAUGACUAGAACAUGACAAGUGUGAACAUAUUGGAGAUCGUUGCAAUCCUUCUUCUUCUCAUAAACCACUCCAAUACACUACUAUGUAAAGAAAAAGCUACCCCAUCAGUAGGGGACUUGUGCCUGGAGCAGAAUAAAACUUUACAAGGGGACGUGCCUCUAUUGCUGGUGUACUACACAGACAGCCUUGAUCAGCCACCUAAAUGGGGAACCAUAUGUGAUGAUCAGGUUGAUGGAACAGCUCUUACCACCAUGUGCCAACAACUUGGAUAUGAUGAUACGAAAUAUCGGUAUAUCUGGGGGUAUAAUGAUGUUGAUCCCUGGUUCUCUGAGGUGACUUGUGGCAGCCAAACAACUCAAAAUAUUCUGAGAUGCCCCUUCAUCCGAGCAAAUAAUCCCAACUGUUCUAAAAUCUACUUACACUGGAUCUGAUGAAAGCUGGAACAAGGUGCCAAAUGAAGGUUACAUUGGACAAGUGCUGCUACUACAUCCCAAGAAUACUGCUCCAGGUCAUCAAGUUUCGUUUGGACUGGUGCUCAUUUACAUGUACCGUAAUGGCUAUAGUUCGUGGGGUAUUAUUACUCAGGACCCAACACAACCAUUCACACUCAAUGCUGCUAACUCAGUAUGCAGGCAGAUGGGGUACACUGAAGCUGACCAUAUCACCACUGCAAAGAAUUCAAACUCUCACUAUGAUCCCACAAGUCUCCAACACAACGCUUGGCUUCGCAGCAUCCACACGAGCGAUUGUAUGGUUACUUCUGAGCCUUGUUUCAGCUGUUGUUUCAGCUGGCCUACUACUCCCUUGUGUAGCGUAGAUACUUGUUUGUUUGAGGACGGUAUCGUUUUGAAAUGCUUGUUUGAUAAAAGCAAAGAGGACUCGCCUAUUUAUUCGGAAGGAAACGAAGAGUUGUGUCAGAUCACAGGUUAUAGGCAACCUAUCUGUACAGGUCAGACUCACCGGCACAAUAAGCUCACUACCAUUAAGAUGAGAAGGGGAGCCUUGUCCCUCGCUUCGUCCAUCCUGUGAUGCAUAUACAAACUUCAUGACAACAAUUAUUACGCUGGUACUGCAUACCACCAUAAGCUCACUCUCAUUAAGAGUGGACAGUUUGGACUUGGAGCCUUGUCCCUCGCUUCGUCCGUCCUGUGAUGCAUAGAUCUAUAUAUAAUUAUGCAACUUUCAACUAUAAAUUAUUACGCUGGUACUGCAUCAGAUUCACUCAACCAUAAGCUCACUCUCGGCAUUAAGAGUGGGCAGUUUGGAGCUGAUUUUGGGAGAGCUUUGUCAUCACUUUGCUGUUCAGCCUGUAUACAAAUUUUCAUGACUUAAUAAUUAUUAUUAUUAUGCUGGUUAAACUCACCUUAAUCUCUUUAGGAAUCGUCUAUAAUCUGCACACAGAGCUGCUAUGAGGAGGAUUCUCAUAGAGAGAGAGAUGUAAAUAGCAGCUGAGCCUGCAACCGCAGCCUCGAUAAUCGGCCUGGUCUCGAGGCUACUGCAACCUCAAUAAUAAUCUACGGCGAAGUAUACGAAUUAUUUAUAUACAUUUACGGGUAUCUCAUUAACAUUCCACAAGAUUUCAGAGAUUCCAAGAGAUUUCAGAGAUUCCAAGGGAUUCCAGAGAUUCCACAAGAUUUCAAGAUUCCAAGUGAGAUUUCAAGAUUUCAGUUGAGAUUCCAAAAAUUUUGUACGAGAUUCCUGGCCGUUGCGGACCCCUCGAUGACAACAGCAAGAAAAAGUACCCCUACCCCAGGCACCCCAGGCAGCCCAGGCACCCCAAGCCCUCCUGAUUAUGAGGCGAUCACAAUUGUCUUGGCUAUUGUCAGUGGAGCAUUACUUUUGAUCACAAUUGUAGUGAUACUAUGCUGUUACAAAAUUUACCGUAAACAUAAAUUAGCACUUCGUGUAGAGGUAAAUCCCGAUCAGCAGCCGUUAGUCGCUAAUAACCUUAAUAAUUAGAAUUAAACUGUCACCACUUGUUUUUAAUGUCAUCUGUGUUAAACUGAACUUUUAUGGACUCAUGGUAUUCACCAAUGACUUUUGUUGAUUUUGCUGAUUAGUACUGUACACAUUAUAGUCGGACUCUAAAUUGGUAGUGAUUUGUGCUGUUUUUCACAUACAUGCAUACGUAAUAAUAAUUAAUACGGUGUCCAAUGUC